GCGUGUUAGNUCACUUUAAUGUGUCCUUGCUGAAUAAAAGUAUUAAUUAUACUGUCUCAAACUUCUGAACAGUAGUGUAUGAAUGUUCCAGUUCUUGUUGUUUUCACUCUCAUUAUCACUGCUCUCUUCAGUGUGUGUUUCUGAUUGGUCAGCAGGCAGCAGUGGGUGUGGCUCAGAGAAACCCAGUGUCAGUGACAUCAUUAACCUUGAGAUGUUGCACCUUGGUGGAUCUAAACUGAAAUCAAGUAACACACAGUCAGGCUGGUCCUGUCCUUCCUGUACAUUCAUAAAUAAGUCUACGAGACCCGGCUGUGAAAUCUGCAUCACAGAUCGACCCAAUCCUCUCAAUCACAGCAGCGUUCAGCAGGAACAAGCAAGAAGAUCGAACCUGUGAAACUGUGCUGUAAAUACACACAAACCCUAAGAUUAUCUCACAUUCAAACGACAUGCAAGGAACUAAACUACUAUUAGCUGCUAGUAGUUUUAAUAAGAGUUGACUUGCACACAAAGCUUCAAUCUCUCACAGUGACUGUGUGGUAUAUUUCACCGGUGGCUUCAUCUCUGGUGCUUUACAGUGCAGUUAAUAGUAACUGAUCUUAUGCUUGGUUCCUCUUAAAGGAGUUGUGACAUGGAUUUGCUUUUGAGCUUAAUUAAUACAUUCUUUGUUUAUAAUGAAGAAGAUGUUUUGAGUUAUGAAACUCACAGGCUCGAGGAAAAAUGAGAUUUCUCAUGUCACGAGUCGUUAAAUGGAGUGAUGUAACUGUUGAGCAGUAUUAGGCUUCAGAAGUGAUCCUGGUUCAUUUUAUGAGCGAGCAAAAACAAAGCAGAAACCCAAUCAUCUGUGGCUCUAGAUGGUGCAAACUAUUUAGGAACUUUACUUUGCAAGUUGCACAUGAGUUUUUGUUUCAAAUAGGACAUUAUAAGUAUCUUUUAGCUUUAGUUGUUGAUUCAGAUGAGUAAUAUGAAUAAGGAAACAACACUGUGUAAAAUAUUAAACAUUCAGCGUUUGUGCAAAUCAGUGUUCAUAUUCGUUCACUGGAACUGGACAAAUAUUUGUGUUUAAUUUAUGUUCAUCAAGCUCUAUUUUAGGGGCUUGAGUUUUAAGGUAAAUGUGACUGUAUAUCAUUAUGUGACGAGGCCAGUACAUAGUGUGAAAAACAACUGAAGGAAACUUGCAUAAAUACAUGUUAUGUGAAUGAUAUGAUCUAAUUAUUCCUUCUCUAAUUGACUAGGAAUUCUCAUUGAAGACUUUGUUCAUGUUUGGAACAAACUACAUUUAGACACAGGGUUAUUGAGUGAAUUUAUUUUAUUUUUCUACAUAGCGUGUUAUUUAAUGAACAAUCUGUUGCUUUGAAUGUAAUUAUAAUUGAGCUGAAUAUGUGUGUGUUGUUAAUGAUUGUGUUUAAAGUCUACACUGCUUUGCUGUGAAUAAACAUAAUGAACCGAGAAGUUUAAGAGUAAUC
ensembl:lncRNA